rnacentral:hammerhead_ribozyme from 1 species
GCACUGCUGAUGAGUCUCAAACAAGACGAAACAGCUGUCCAGUGU